rnacentral:rRNA from 1 species
ACGAACGCUGGCGGCUGCCUAAUAAAUGCAAGUAGGACGGAGUGGCGAACGGGUGCGUAACGCGUGAGCAACCUGCCUAUGACAGUGGGAUAGCCGCGGGAAACCGGGAUUAAUACCACAUCGUCAUAAAUGGGCUCACGUCUGAUUAGCUAGUUGGUGAGAUAACAGCCCACCAAGGAGACGAUCAGUAGCCGGUCUGAGAGGAUGAACGGCCACAGUGGAACUGAGACACGGGCCAAACUCCUACGGGAGGUAACAGUGGGGAUUAUUGCACAAUGGGGGAAACCCUGAUGCAGCGACGCCGCGUGAACGAAGAAGGUAUUCGUAUCGUAAAGUUCUGUCCGAUGGGAAGCAGUACCAGAGAAGAAAGCUCCGGCUAAAUACGUGCCAGCAGCCGCGGUAAUAC